rnacentral:rRNA from 1 species
ACGGGAGGCAGCAGUGGGGAAUAUUGGGCAAUGGGGGAAACCCUGACCCAGCAACGCCGCGUGAAGGAAGAAGGCCUUCGGGUUGUAAACUUCUUUUACCAGGGACGAAACAAAUGACGGUACCUGGAGAAAAAGCUACGGCUAACUACGUGCCAGCAGCCGCGGUAAUACGGAGGAUGCGAGCGUUAUCCGGAUUUAUUGGGUUUAAAGGGUGCGCAGGCGGCACGUUAAGUCAGCGGUGAAAUGUCGGGGCUCAACCCAGGCACUGCCGUUGAAACUGGCGAGCUUGAGUACGGAUGAAGUCGGCGGAAUGUGAUGUGUAGCGGUGAAAUGCUUAGAUAUGUCACAGAACACCGAUUGCGAAGGCAGCUGACUAAUCUGCAACUGACGCUCAGGCACGAAAGCGUGGGGAUCGAACAGGAUUAGAUACCCUGGUA